rnacentral:ncRNA from 1 species
GCCGCGGGACGACCCGUGGCCCCAGACGCAAAGGGGACGGCCCC